AAGAUCAGAAUCACAGACAAGUCAACCAACAUAAUUAUGAAAUGAUUAAAAAAAAAGGUUUACAUCAAUGUGGUGAUGUGGCGCUCUCCUGGGCUUGGGCCUAAGCCACGCCAGAUGAGGGACAGCCUCUCACGGUGAGCUAGGCCGCACCUCUCAUUCUGUCCGCGGGCCCCUCGCUGCUCCUCCCCCACCUGCGGGUGUUGUGGGGGAAGAUAGGGGUGCGGCCUCUGGCCUGACCUCUGGUCUCCCGCCCUGCUGCCUUCUGGCUUCCCACUUUUUGGGAGUGUGUUCCCACUCCUGUG
rnacentral:lncRNA from 1 species